rnacentral:rRNA from 1 species
UGGCGGACGGGUGAGUAACGCGUGGGUAACCUGCCUCACACUGGGGGAGUAACAGUUAGAAAUAGCUGCUAAUACCGCGUAAGCGCACGGUUCCGCAUGGAACAGUGUGAAAAACUCCGGUGGUGUGAGAUGGACCCGCGUCUGAUUAGCCAGUUGGCGGGGUGACGGCCCACCAAAGCGACGAUCAGUAGCCGGCCUGAGAGGGUGAACGGCCACAUUGGGACUGAGACACGGCCCAA